GCACAGGUGCUGCAUGGCUGUCGUCAGCUCGUGUCGUGAGAUGUUGGGUUAAGUCCCGCAACGAGCGCAACCCUUAUCCCCAGUUGCCAUCAGGUAAAGCUGGGAACUCUGGGGAGACUGCCGGUGAUAAACCGGAGGAAGGCGGGGAUGACGUCAAGUCCUCAUGGCCCUUACAUCCCGGGCUACACACGUGCUACAAUGGCAGGUACAGAGGGCUGCGAAGCCGCGAGGUGGAGCGAAUCCCAGAAAACCUGUCUCAGUCCGGAUUGAAGUCUGCAACUCGACUUCAUGAAGGCGGAAUCGCUAGUAACCGCGAAUCAGCAGGUCGCGGUGAAUACGUUCCCGGGCCUU
rnacentral:rRNA from 1 species